GUGGGGAAUAUUGGACAAUGGGCGCAAGCCUGAUCCAGCAAUGCCGCGUGGGUGAAGAAGGCCUUCGGGUUGUAAAGCCCUUUUGUACGGAAAGAAAUCCUGGUGGUUAAUACCCGCCGGGGAUGACGGUACCGUAAGAAUAAGCACCGGCUAACUUCGUGCCAGCAGCCGCGGUAAUACGAAGGGUGCAAGCGUUAAUCGGAAUUACUGGGCGUAAAGCGUGCGUAGGUGGUUUCUUAAGUCUGUCGUGAAAGCCCUGGGCUCAACCUGGGAAUGGCGAUGGAUACUGGGAGGCUAGAGUGCGGUAGAGGAUGGCGGAAUUCCCGGUGUAGCGGUGAAAUGCGUAGAGAUCGGGAGGAACAUCUGUGGCGAAGGCGGCCAUCUGGACCAGCACUGACACUGAGGCACGAAAGCGUGGGGAGCAAACAGGAUUAGAAACCCGGGUAGUCC
rnacentral:rRNA from 1 species